CAGGAGUUCCACAAUGCCCGAUUACAGUCUCUAAAAUGUGUAUUAAAGUCUCUACCUAGCCUAUAUAUCUUGGAACUCUCUUGCUCGGCUCCUCAGCUCCUCAAGCCUGACGAUUAUUUGCAUGAAUUAUGAGGGUGUGAGCUUUAAAAAGCUCAGUGAAUGUUAAUAGAAAUGACUAGUAAAUUAGCAUCCAAUUCAUGCUUAAUUCACAACCAAUCAUUCUCCAAUUGUCAGCCAAAAUAAUUAAACAUGUCAAUUUAAUUUCCAUAAGCAUUUUCAAUACCAAAAAUAAAUUAUUCAUGGCUUUCAAUCAUCAAUUGAUAUAGAAAUAAUCACACAUAAAUAUAUUGGCAUUCAUUUCUCAUGGCUUAAUCGGGUGAUCAUACAUAAGAUAAACAAAUCUCCGAACUCCCACAAAUAUUAAAUACAAUCCACCGAGUUGAGAUGGCCGAAGCACGCACUCCUUUAUAGCGCCUCAAAUAACCUAUUGAGUGGAGACUCAUGCUCAACACUCCCUUAUCUACUCCAAAUAAAUCAGUCCACCUAGAGCCAUAUGCUCACAAUGUUACAAAUAAAGGUGAGUGCCCACAAAUCCUAUGGCAUGCCAACUGUAUCCAAUGGAUCCACCAUGCAUGUUGCCAAUAUAUUUAGUCAAACAUAACAUAUAAAUUAGUCAUUAUUGUCCUCAAUUUAAUGUGACAAGAUGCUUAUGUGUAACUUGUAAAAUAGCCAUUUAAUACCCAAUUAAAUCAAGCAAUUCAUUUACCAAUUUCUUAUAUUCAAUUACCAAUUGUAACACCAACAUAUCAUGAUAAAAAAUUUCAGCAUACAUGUUUUAAAUCAUCCCUAAAAUUAAUUUAAUUAAAUAGCACAAACACCACCCAAAGCUAAUUACCAUUUUUCAAUACAAAUUUAAUUUUUUUGCACAUUUAAUACUAAUCUUGCAAAAUCAGCCAUUCAAUCAUAAUUAAUUAAUUGAAAUCAUUAAUUAAGCUACUAAUUAAACAUAAUUGAGGGUCAAUUUAUCAAAUCGCCCUUAGAAACACUCAUCACAAAAUUUUAUUAUAUCACAACAAGUGAUCAACUAAGCAAUUUCAAGCUUCAAUUCCGGUUAUCUCGAUCCUCUUCAAGAUUCGAAGCUUCAAUAGAGGUAACAUAGACAUUACCACCUUUCCAAUGCUAUAAUAAACACAAAUUUUAAUUAACUAUACUAAUUGAAAUUCUCUCACAAAGAUACCUUACCAGAUUUGUAACAUCAAGUCGAAAACUCGAUUCCUCACAAAAUUGAUCUCUCCAGCCCUCCUAAUCACUUCCAAACAUCAAUACUAGACCAAAUACACAUAUACUAAGCACCAAUUUCAUAUUUAAAUCAAUUUCACAAAAAUCCAAAAAAAAUCGGUUCAUAAAGAUGAUGAAAUUCAGAUUUUUUCAAAUUACCUCACAAAUCAUGUUUAAUCUUGAUAAAUAAGACCAAAAACCUUUUAAUAGAUUCAUUUUGAGUUGGAAUAUUCAUUGAUUUGUGGAUUUCCUCUCAAAAUUCAAGAUCCACCAUUAAAGCACCUUAAGCUUUUGAAGGAGAUGACAUUGAUAAAAAAAUCAUUUAAUUAUCACUCAAAUCAUGUAAAUAUGCUUGUAAUCAUCAUAAAAAUAAAUUUAGAAAUAAUAAUUACCUUUGAUUCGUUCUAAAUCCUUUGAUUGAAAAUCUUGAUUCAAGAAUCUUGAGAAAUUUCAGAGUAUUUUUGGCUACUUUUGAAAAUAAUUUUGAGAGAAUUGAGAGAAUAUUUUGAAAAGAAAAUUGGUUGAAU
rnacentral:lncRNA from 1 species